AGAGUUUGAUUAUGGCUCAGGAUGAACGCUGGCGGCGUGCUUAACACAUGCAAGUCGAACGAGGUCCAACCUUCGGGUGAAGACCGAGUGGCGAACGGGUGAGUAACACGUGGGGAACCUGCCCUUCUCUCUGGGAUAACCUCGGGAAACCGAAGCUAAUACCGGAUACUCCUUGCGGACCGCAUGGUCUGCUCGGGAAAGCUCCGGCGGAGAGGGAUGGCCCCGCGGCCCAUUAGCUUGUUGGUGGGGUAACGGCCCACCAAGGCGGCGAUGGGUAGCCGAGCUGAGAGGCUGAUCGGCCACACUGGGACUGAGACACGGCCCAGACUCCUACGGGAGGCAGCAGUGGGGAAUCUUGCGCAAUGGGCGAAAGCCUGACGCAGCAACGCCGCGUGCGGGAUGAAGGCUCUCGGGUCGUAAACCGCUUUCAGCAGGGAUGAAAAUGACAGUACCUGCAGAAGAAGCCCCGGCUAAAUACGUGCCAGCAGCCGCGGUAAUACGUAUGGGGCAAGCGUUAUCCGGAUUCAUUGGGCGUAAAGCGCGCGUAGGCGGCUUGUUAAGUCAGGCGUGAAAUCCGGGGGCUCAACCCGCGGCUUGCGUCUGAAACUGGCAGGCUUGAGUCUGGUAGAGGAAAGUGGAAUUCCUGGUGUAGCGGUGAAAUGCGCAGAUAUCAGGAGGAACACCAGUGGCGAAGGCGGCUUUCUGGGCCACGACUGACGCUGAGGCGCGAAAGCUAGGGGAGCGAACAGGAUUAGAUACCCUGGUAGUC
rnacentral:rRNA from 1 species